UACGUAGGGUGCAAGCGUUAAUCGGAAUUACUGGGCGUAAAGUGUGCGCAGGCGGUUCUAUAAGACAGAUGUGAAAUCCCCGGGCUCAACCUGGGAACUGCAUUUGUGACUGUAGAGCUGGAGUGCGGCAGAGGGGGAUGGAAUUCCGCGUGUAGCAGUGAAAUGCGUAGAUAUGUGGAGGAACACCGAUGGCGAAGGCAGCCCCCUGGGUUAACACUGACGCUCAUGCACGAAAGCGUGGGGAGCAAACAGG
rnacentral:rRNA from 1 species